GAUGAACGCUGGCGGCGUGCCUAAUACAUGCCAGUCGAGCGAACGGACGAGAAGCUUGCUUUUCUGAUGUUAGAGGCGGACGGGUGAGUAACACGUGGAUAACCUACCUAUAAGACUGGGAUAACUUCGGGAAACCGGAGCUAAUACCGGAUAAUAUUUUGAACCGCAUGGUUCAAAAGUGAAAGACGGUCUUGCUGUCACUUAUAGAUGGAUCCGCGCUGCAUUAGCUAGUUGGUAAGGUAACGGCUUACCAAGGCAACGAUGCAUAGCCGACCUGAGAGGGUGAUCCGCCACACUGGAACUGAGACACGGUCCAGACUCCUACGGGAGGCAGCAGUAGGGAAUCUUCCGCAAUGGGCGAAAGCCUGACGGAGCAACGCCGCGUGAGUGAUGAAGGUCUUCGGAUCGUAAAACUCUGUUAUUAGGGAAGAACAUAUGUGUAAGUAACUGUGCACAUCUUGACGGUACCUAAUCAGAAAGCCACGGCUAACUACGUG
rnacentral:rRNA from 1 species